GUUAAGGUGGCAGAGCCCGGUAACU
rnacentral:tRNA from 2 species